UGGGGAAUUUUGGACAAUGGGGGGAACCCUGAUCCAGCCAUCCCGCGUGUAUGAUGAAGGCCUUCGGGUUGUAAAGUACGUUUGACAGGGAAGAAACGACACCACCUAAUACGUGGUGUUAAUGACGGUACCUGUAGAACAAGCACCGGCUAACUACGUGCCAGCAGCCGCGGUAAUACGCAGGGUGCAAGCGUUCAUCGGAAUUACUCGGCUUCAAGGGUUCGCAGGCGGCUAGGAAAGAAGGAUGUGCAAUCUCAGGGCUCAACCUUGGAACUGCAUUCUUAACUGCCUAGCUAGAGUAUGUCAGAGGGGGGUAGAAUUCCACGUGUAGCAGUGAAAUGCGUAGAUAUGUGGAGGAAUACCGAUGGCGAAGGCAGCCCCCUGGGAUAAUACUGACGCUCAGGUACGAAGGCGUGGGGAGCAAACAG
rnacentral:rRNA from 1 species